AUUGAACGCUGGCGGCAGGCUUAACACAUGCAAGUCGAGCGGGGUGAUGGUGCUUGCACUAUCACUUAGCGGCGGGCGGGUGAGUAAUGCUUAGGAAUCUGCCUAUUAGUGGGGGACAACAUCUCGAAAGGGAUGCUAAUACCGCAUACGUCCUACGGGAGAAAGCAGGGGAUCACUUGUGACCUUGCGCUAAUAGAUGAGCCUAAGUCGGAUUAGCUAGUUGGUGGGGUAAAGGCCUACCAAGGCGACGAUCUGUAGCGGGUCUGAGAGGAUGAUCCGCCACACUGGGACUGAGACACGGCCCAGACUCCUACGGGAGGCAGCAGUGGGGAAUAUUGGACAACGGGGGGAACCCUGAUCCAGCCAUGCCGCGUGUGUGAAGAAGGCCUUAUGGUUGUAAAGCACUUUAAGCGAGGAGGAGGCUCUUUUGGUUAAUACCCAAGAUGAGUGGACGUUACUCGCAGAAUAAGCACCGGCUAACUCUGUGCCAGCCGCCGCAGUAA
rnacentral:rRNA from 1 species